rnacentral:rRNA from 2 species
GGUUGACCUCGAAUCAGGUAGGAAUACCCGCUGAACUUAAGCAUAUCAAUAAGC